rnacentral:rRNA from 1 species
AGUGAACGCUGGCGGUAGGCCUAACACAUGCAAGUCGAACGGCAGCACAGUAAGAGCUUGCUCUUACGGGUGGCGAGUGGCGGACGGGUGAGGAAUACAUCGGAAUCUACUUUUUCGUGGGGGAUAAUGUAGGGAAACUUACGCUAAUACCGCAUACGACCUACGGGUGAAAGCAGGGGAUCUUCGGAUCUUGCGCGAUUGAAUGAGCCGAUGUCGGAUUAGCUAGUUGGCGGGGUAAAGGCCCACCAAGGCGACGAUCCGUAGCUGGUCUGAGAGGAUGAUCAGCCACACUGGAACUGAGACACGGUCCAGACUCCUACGGGAGCCAGCAGUGGGGAAUAUUGGACAAUGGGCGCAAGCCUGAUCCAGCCAUACCGCGUGGGUGAAGAAGGCCUUCGGGUUGUAAAGCCCUUUUGUUGGGAAAGAAAAGCAGCAGGUUAAUACCCCGCUGUUCUGACGGUACCCAAAGAAUAAGCACCGGCUAACUUCGUG